AUUGAACGCUGGCGGCGGGCUUAACACAUGCAAGUCGAACGAUUGGCGGCCGGGUGAGUAAUACUUGGGAAUCUAGCUUAUGGAGGGGGAUAACUACGGGAAACUGUAGCUAAGACCGCAGACCAUAGUAUUAGCCCAAGUGGGAUUAGGUAGUUGGUGUGGUAAAGGCUCACCAAGCCGACGAUCGCUAGCUGGUCUGAGAGGAUGAUCAGCCACACUGGGACUGAGACACGGCCCAGACUCCUACGGGAGGCAGCAGUGGGGAAUAUUGGGCAAUGGGCGCAAGCUGACGCAGCCACGCCGCGUGAAUGAAGAAGGCCUUCGGGUUGUAAAGCUCUUUUGUUAGAGAAGCGUUAACUAAAGAAGAAGCCACGGCUAACUACGUGCCAGCAGCCGCGGUAAUAC
rnacentral:rRNA from 1 species